rnacentral:lncRNA from 10 species
AGGACGCGGGCAGAGGUGGGCGGUGGGGCAGCGAGAGAGGGCCGCGCCAGAGCAGCCCACUCCCGCACAGCCUAGGACUGGAGUUCCCAGGCCCAACCGCCUACCUGAGUGAUCUGUUUUGCACAUCUUUCCUCAUUCCUCUUCUCUGCUGUCCCUACCUCCUCUACUUUUUUGCAUGAACAGGGCCCAGGCCAGGAUAACGGAUGCAGAAAGAUGGCCUUUUGGCCCGGAACGCACUCUCUCUCGUACGCAUACACCCACCUCCCUACCACCCCCCCCACACACACGCUCACGCGCAAUUCAACCCCCCCAGCCCAGCCCCAGCCAGUGCACUGGGCACACGCUCGGGAUCCAGGCACCUUGCCAAGAGCUCGCGAGCACCCUGCGUGGCACACUGGUUGGAGUUCCUGCACGAAGUGGCGGGGGUGGAGUGAGGAGGGAGGGGUGGGCGGCGGUGCACGCCGCCGACUGCUGGCGGUGAGCACAAGUUCAGUGCUCAACUUCCCGCUCUUAACGAGACCCGGGAUCCCUUUGGAGAGGCCCUCGGGAGCUGGCGACAGGGCUGGGAGUGGCGUGGGUAAGCUGGCCGGCGCGGGGCGCGGGCGGCGGGGCACAAGGGCGCUACAAGAAGAGGGCGCGAGGGUGCCCGCGGCCAGCCGGGCGCUCCGAGAAGUCAGCGCGAGCAGCUGUGACUUCACCUAUUAGCCCCGAUGUCUUUCCGAGGAGCCUGGUGGAGUUAAACAGCCCACAAUGGGCGCUCUGGGGCGCCUCCAGCCUGACCUCCACCCGGGUUUAAUAGUUUCAUAGGAACUUCAUUAAAUCAAUUACUUAGUGA